CAGUAGCCACGGUAAUACGUAUGUCACGAGCGUUAUCCGGAUUUAUUGGGCGUAAAGCGCGUCUAGGUGGUUAUAUAAGUCUGAUGUGAAAGCCCACGGCUCAACCGUGGAGGGUCAUUGGAAACUGUUAAACUUGAGUGCAGGAGAGAAAAGUGGAAUUCCUAGUGUAGCGGUGAAAUGCGUAGAGAUUAGGAGGAACACCAGUGGCGAAGGCGGCUUUUUGGCCUGUAACUGACACUGAGGCGCGAAAGCGUGGGGAGCAAACAGGAUUAGAUACCCCCGUAGUCCCUGUCUCUUAUAC
rnacentral:rRNA from 1 species